CGAAAUAAGGAAAACCUAUCUAUGGUUAUAAUAGCACAGCAAGCAAGAAAUAAACACCUUUUCUCCCCCCUCCCUUAGAAGGAAACCCUGCUGUCACAGCUACCAUCAGCACAGGGACUAGCUCGUUAUGAAGAGGCCUGACUGCAGCAGCCCAGCCAUUUCAAAGUCCACACGGCACAUGCUAGAGGACUGGCUGAUCAGUAACCUGAAGGAAGGCUGCUGGCAAAGCUGCAUUACCAUAAAGUCAUGCUCCCAGGGUCUUGCUGAAGCCUGUGUAGCAAGAUGCACACAGCUGAAGACUGCUGCGAUUGGCAUUUUGCACCCUAAGUAGAAGACUGGGGUGUCUGGUUUAGGGUUGCAGAUUGGAGACUUCUGGGGCAGAGCGUGAGUGGAGGAAACAUGGAAGAGUUCUACAUAGGCAGGUUUAUUGAGAGUGCUAGAUCAGUGCAUUUAUUGUGAUAUACAUGGAUAUUUAUGAGUAUCCACAGACACGUGCAUGCUUGAAGACCUGGAGACAAAUGUGGAACACUGAAGAUAAGACAGACACUUAAGUGUAUCCUAUACUCUUGGAAUACAUAGGUAAAAUUAGAAAUCCGAAGCGCCGUUUUAAAAAAGCUUAAAACUUGCAAAGUUGACGAUUUGUAAUUUCUGCUGUCAAUUGGAACAGAUGACAUGGACCAACUUAUAGAAGAGGAGCUUACACAAUCUCAUCAGUAGAAUCACAAACUCUAUUAACAGUGUCUCCUAUUUACAGGACAAAAAUUCAAGACAGAUUAGAAAUACGUGCAUUGGAGUAUUAUUUACAUUUCCUAGUGUCCCAUUUGCACUUAAAACUAACACGAUAUAUUGAUCUUCUAGAUGACAGCCCUAGCCCUAGGACUUUUUUGCAGGUCUUUCAGGAUUCAAACUCUAAGGACAUUUCCAGAAGUAAUGAGUAAUCUACGCCAAAAUUGUCCAAGACAGACCAGGCCAAUAAAGAGCCCUGUCCUGCUCUGUAUGGAGAGAAAUGAAGCAAGCAGUAUCUAGACAGAUGGCUUCUUCAUAAGGAGACAAGCAUGAAGGUGGUAUCAGAGGACUGGCUCCCUGGUAAGAAUAUCUGGGCUAGAAGAGGAUCUGGAGAGCAGUCGAGCAAAGGAUCUAACUUACAUGUGAGCACACAUGGAAAGAAAGCAGCUCUAGAAAAUGUAAUGAAAUAUAACCUGUGAUAAUACUAACCAGCUGAUAACCUUGAGGGUAAAGCCUCUAAGAGAAGCAAUGACCAUAAUCCUGAAGAAUUACACAAAAUGGUUUUACCAAGUUAUACAUACCUAACACCGUAAGUCACCUAGCAUCAGAAGGUAUCAGCAGAACAAGCAAGUACUGAAAAAAAACACCAAUGAACACUGGACUUCAUUUCAAAGCAGGUUUUUUUUGGGUCUUACUAGAGAACCAAACUAGACAGCAAUGAAAGGCAGAAUUGCAAUUUGGUGAUUGAAGGAAGUCAACUAAUCACAUGGAAAACUUAUCCUCGCCCUGCAGAAAGUUAUAUUAUGACCUUAUACAUCUGUUCAUUACGCAGAAGCUCACAAGGCAUGGUACAGCCCAGGAAGAUAGCUUGAAUGGUACUGCUAGAACUGAAUUGCUACCACAGAAUUUUUUCUGUUGUCCCCCGUUUUCACCUUAGAUUAUCAAACUUCUAGACAGGGACAGUUACAGAAAAGCAGAAAUUUUUACCUACAAUUAAGGGGGGGAGGAAAUCUCUGCAGAGCGAUUAACUAGAAUUAUGAGUGAAGUCAUACACGCAUCCAGAAGAACUAUCUAAUACCUGGUUUGGUUUAUCCCAAUAACAUCCACUGAAAGAAAAAAAAAGUUAGCUAAAGAAUAUUUCUAAGCCCCUUAAUCAUACGAAUAAACCAAGACAACAAAAAAGCUGUCUUUAUACACACCUUGACCACAAAGAACACUGAGCAACAACUUGGGAAAGAAGAGAUAUGCACAUUUCCUUUACAUGAGCCACUGAACUGAAUGGAAAUGCUAGAAAUUAGUGUUGUUACUGUAAAUUUCAGCUCAAUUUCCACAUUCUUGACUGCUUAGAAAAUAAUAAAAGUGAAAGGAGCA